rnacentral:tRNA from 1 species
GAGGGCGUGGCUCAAUGGUACCGCGCAUCUCUAGUCCUGCCGAGUAAUACUUGGGUGGGCCAUAAUGAGAAGAUCUGGGUUCGAUUCCCAGCGUCCUCA